AUUGUGGGUGCAGUUGUGAGCAGAUCCGUAUUGGGCUGGUCUUCCAUUAUCACGACAUUUUGAAUCCUCAUAGUUAGAAUCUCUAGGAUGGGAAUUUUUUCGCACAGGUGUUCAAAACCGAGGUCAAUAUUCGUUGAACAUUUCAAGUAUUCUGACAUUUACACGUUCUUUUGGUAAUGUUGGAAUAUGGGAUUUGCCGUUCACAACGGACGGCAGGCCUUCAAUUGCCGGUUGAAGAUAACCACUCACAGAUAGAUAAGUACCUUGACGGAAGAAUAGGCGAAACGCUUUUUCAUUGUGAAAGUGGCAUGGAUAUGUGAGACCCUUUUCUCUAAAUGUAAUGUGAUGUGAUGUAGGUCAUAUUGCACUGAACAAGGCUCCUGUUCACGGAAACAGAUUCAAACCUUUUAAGCAUCGUCAGACCCUGCGUGGCCAGUGCGUUGAAAAGAAUGGAGUUAACAGAAAAUUUUGCUAGAUAAUUUGAGUUAACAAAGACCAGAUAAAUAUUCUCCGCGACGGCCACGUCACCCCACAAUUGCUACGCAAAAGUGGUCCGAGAAGUGAGGCAUCGUUCAAUCAAGCGAAAGUUAAUCGCUGCUGAUGGUUGACGGCUGUGCGUUGUCGAAUGUUGACAACAAACCUUGAAGCGAUUGUGAGGAGUGACAGUGAUGGAAAAUAGGUUUAGGUUGGGUAAUAGCUGGGUAAGAAAGUGUCCAUGAACUUUGUGGGAGGCGAUGUGCUCAGCUUUUAAGCGUUGUGUUGAUUCCCUCUAAUC
rnacentral:lncRNA from 1 species